AUUGAACGCUGGCGACAGGCCUAACACAUGCAAGUCGAGCGGCAGCGGAAAGUAGCUUGCUACUUUGCCGGCGAGCGGCGGACGGGUGAGUAAUGUCUGGGAAACUGCCUGAUGGAGGGGGAUAACUACUGGAAACGGUAGCUAAUACCGCAUGACCUCGAAAGAGCAAAGUGGGGGAUCUUCGGACCUCACGCCAUCGGAUGUGCCCAGAUGGGAUUAGCUAGUAGGUGAGGUAAUGGCUCACCUAGGCGACGAUCCCUAGCUGGUCUGAGAGGAUGACCAGCCACACUGGAACUGAGACACGGUCCAGACUCCUACGGGAGGCAGCAGUGGGGAAUAUUGCACAAUGGGCGCAAGCCUGAUGCAGCCAUGCCGCGUGUGUGAAGAAGGCCUUAGGGUUGUAAAGCACUUUCAGCGAGGAGGAAGGCACCAUACUUAAUACGUGUGGUGAUUGACGUUACUCGCAGAAGAAGCACUGGCUAACUCCGUGCCAGCAGCCGCGGUAAUACGGAGGGUGCAAGCGUUAAUCGGAAUUACUGGGCGUAAAGCGCACGCAGGCGGUUUGUUAAGUCAGAUGUGAAAUCCCCGCGCUUAACGUGGGAACUGCAUUUGAAACUGGCAAGCUAGAGUCUUGUAGAGGGGGGUAGAAUUCCAGGUGUAGCGGUGAAAUGCGUAGAGAUCUGGAGGAAUACCGGUGGCGAAGGCGGCUCCCUGGACAAAGACUGACGCUCAGGUGCGAAAGCGUGGGGAGCAAACAGG
rnacentral:rRNA from 1 species